rnacentral:lncRNA from 1 species
CCACCACCAUCUUUUUCCAUCGUUAUAGCCUAACUUUCAUGUCCUUCUCUUGAUGUCUCUCUCUUUUUCUCUCUCCAUCUUUCAUCUUCUUCCUCUAAAUUUUUUUUUCAUUUUCUUCAUUUACUAUCUCCAUAAAUCUUAUUUUCUCUCUCCAUUUAAUAUUCUCUCUCAUAGUCUCAUUGCAGACUAAAUACAAGCCCUCAUCAAUCGAUCGACUCAAACCAAAUAGAUAAGGCUCUAAUUGAACUCAUAUUGAGUCUCUCUCUCUCCCUCUCCUUUCUACCUCUAGUGGUCAAUCCAGACCAAACAGAUCAAGCUCUUGAUCGAACCUAAAUUAAGAGAUCCAGCCUAAAAGCCC